GUCCCGGUAGUGCAGUGGUAUCACUCGCUCCCAGAAAGGUCGAGACGCGGGUUCGACUCCCAUCUGAGGUU